UCUCAAGCAAAUUAAGAGCAUUUGGUGGAUGCCUUGGCAUCGAGAGGCGAUGAAAGACGUGGCACUCUGCGAUAAGCUGCGGGGAGGGGAGAGCACCCUUUGAUCCGUGGAUCUCUGAAUGGGGAAACCCGGCGCUUUAGCGUCAUCUCGGACUGAAUACAUAGGUUCGAGAAGCGAACCCGGCGAAGUGAAACAUCUCAGUAGCCGGAGGAAAGGACAUCAAUUGAGACUCCGUUAGUAGUGGCGAGCGAACGCGGACCAGGCCAGUGGCAGUAUCUUAAGAACCGGAACCGUCUGGAAAGUCGGGCCAUAGUGGGUGAUAGCCCCUUACGGGUAGAAAGAGAUACUGUCCUCGAGUAGGGCGGGACACGUGAAAUCCUGUCUGAACAUGGGGGGACCAUCCUCCAAGCCUAAGUACUCCUCGAUGACCGAUAGUGAACCAGUACCGUGAGGGAAAGGUGAAAAGCACCCCGACGAGGGGAGUGAAAGAGACCUGAAACCGAAUGCUUACAAGCAGUGGGAGCCUCCUUGAGGGGUGACCGCGUACCUUUUGUAUAAUGGGUCAGCGAGUUAAUUUUGCGAGCGAGCUUAAGCCGUUAGGUGUAGGCGCAGGGAAACCGAGUCUUAAUAGGGCGUUUUAGUUCGUAGGAUUAGACCCGAAGCCCGGUGAUCUAGCCAUGAGCAGGUUGAAGGUGCGGUAACACGUACUGGAGGACCGAACCCACUUAUGUUGAAAAAUGAGGGGAUGACUUGUGGCUAGGGGUGAAAGGCCAAUCAAACCGGGUAAUAGCUGGUUCUCCGCGAAAUCUAUUUAGGUAGAGCGUCAUGUAUUGCCGUCGGGGGUAGAGCACUGGAUGGGCUAGGGGGUCCCACAGACUUACCAAACCUAACCAAACUCCGAAUACCGAU
rnacentral:rRNA from 1 species